CGUAGGGUGCAGGCGUUAAUCGGAAUUACUGGGCGUAAAGCGUGCGCAGGCGGUUUGCUAAGACAGGUGUGAAAUCCCCGGGCUUAACCUGGGAACUGCGCUUGUUACUGGCAAGCUGGAGUGUGGCAGAGGGGGGUGGAAUUCCACGUGUAGCAGUGAAAUGCGUAGAGAUGUGGAGGAACACCGAUGGCGAAGGCAGCCCCCUGGGCUAACACUGACGCUCAUGCACGAAAGCGUGGGGAGCAAACAGGAUUAGAUACCCUGGUAGUCCACGCCCUAAACUAUGUCAACUGGUUGUCGGGGAAGCAAUUCCUUGGUAACGAAGCUAACGCGUGAAGUUGACCGCCUGGGGAGUACGGCCGCAAGGUUA
rnacentral:rRNA from 1 species